GUAAAGUGGCGCACGGGUGAGUAACGCGUGGAUAAUCUGCCCUAUGAUCGGGAUAACAGUUGAACGGCUGCUAAUACCGGAUACGCUCAAAAUGAACUUUUUGAGGAAAGAUGGCCUCUGCUUGCAUGCUAUCACGUAAGGAUGAGUCCGCGUCCCAUUAGCUUGUUGGCGGGGUAACGGCCCACCAAGGCAACGAUGGGUAGCCGAUUUGAGAGGAUGAUCGGCCACACUGGAACUGAAACACGGUCCAGACUCCUACGGGAGGCAGCAGUGGGGGAAUAUUGCGCAAUGGGCGAAAGCCUGACGCAGCGACGCCGCGUGAGGGAUGAAAGGUUUUCGGAUCGUAAACCUCUGUCAGAAGGGAAGAAACUACGUUGUGCUAAUCAGCAGCGUACUGACGGUACCUUCAAAGGAAGCACCGGCUAACUCCGUGCCAGCAGCAGC
rnacentral:rRNA from 1 species